AAAUUACCCACUCCCGGCACGGGGAGGUAGUGACGAAAAAUAACGAUACGGGACUCAUCCGAGGCCCCGUAAUCGGAAUGAGUACACUCUAAAUCCUUUCCCAAGGAUCAAUUGGAGGGCAAGUCUGGUGUCAGCCGCCGCGGUAAUUCCAGCUCCAAUAGCGUAUAUUAAAGUUGUUGCGGUUAAAAAGCUCGUAGUCGAAUCUGUGUCCCGCGCCGCUGGUUCAUCGCUCGCGGUGUUCAACUGGCGUGUCUCGCGGGACGUCCUGCCGGUGGGCUUUCGUAUCGUUUCGGCGGUUCGUAGCCCAACUCGUAUCCGUCUCGCGCGGGUGCGAAUCCUAUCGCGGUGCUCUUUAUUGAGUGUCGAGGUGGGCCGGCACGUUUACUUUGAACAAAUUAGAGUGCUUAAAGCAGGCCAAUUUUGCCUGAAUAUUGUGUGCAUGGAAUAAUGGAAUAGGACCUCGGUUCUAUUUUGUUGGUUUUCGGAACCCCGAGGUAAUGAUUAAUAGGAACGGAUGGGGGCAUUCGUAUUGCGACGUUAGAGGUGAAAUUCUUGGAUCGUCGCAAGACGGACAGAAGCGAAAGCAUUUGCCAAAAACGUUUUCAUUGAUCAAGAACGAAAGUUAGAGGUUCGAAGGCGAUCAGAUACCGCCCUAGUUCUAACCAUAAACGAUGCCAGCUAGCGAUCCGCCGACGUUCCUCCGAUGACUCGGCGGGCAGCUUCCGGGAAACCAAAGCUUUUGGGUUCCGGGGGAAGUAUGGUUGCAAAGCUGAAACUUAAAGGAAUUGACGGAAGGGCACCACCAGGAGUGGAGCCUGCGGCUUAAUUUGACUCAACACGGGAAACCUCACCAGGCCCGGACACCGGAAGGAUUGACAGAUUGAGAGCUCUUUCUUGAUUCGGUGGGUGGUGGUGCAUGGCCGUUCUUAGUUGGUGGAGCGAUUUGUCUGGUUUAUU
rnacentral:rRNA from 1 species